UGGGGAAUUUUGGACAAUGGGCGAAAGCCUGAUCCAGCAAUGCCGCGUGCUUGAAGAAGGCCUUCGGGUUGUAAACUGCUUUUGUACGGAACGAAACGGUCUUUUUUAAUACAAGGGGUUAAUGACGGUACCGUAAGAAUAAGCACCGGCUAACUACGUGCCAGCAGCCGCGGUAAUACGUAGGGUGCAAGCGUUAAUCGGAAUUACUGGGCGUAAAGCGUGCGCAGGCGGUUAUGCAAGACAGAUGUGAAAUCCCCGGGCUCAACCUGGGAACUGCAUUUGUGACUGCAUAGCUAGAGUGCGGCAGAGGGGGAUGGAAUUCCGCGUAUAGAAGUGAAAUGCGUAGAUAUGCGGAGGAACACCGAUGGCGAAGGCAAUCCCCUGGGCCUGCAAUGACGCUCAUGCACGAAAGAGUGGGGAGCAAACA
rnacentral:rRNA from 1 species